rnacentral:misc_RNA from 1 species
ACCUUACAUUGCUUCCUAAUGUGUUGUAAGAUGCUUUGGCUUACAAAGGUCAAUGGUAAACCUUGUCAAGCUUCCAAAGGUUUUACUAGAUUUAUCAUCCUCAUUGGUGAAGAUCCUUGCCAUGCUUCUUAAGGUGUUGCAAGCAUUCCUAGCCUACUCUAAGGUUAGUGAAGACACUUGCAGAGCUUCCUACAGUUAUGUAGCAUUCAUCGG